GAUCAUGGCUCAGAUUGAACGCUGGCGGCAUGCUUUACACAUGCAAGUCGAACGGCAGCACGGAGAGCUUGCUCUCUGGUGGCGAGUGGCGCACGGGUGAGUAAUACAUCGGAACGUGUCCUGUUGUGGGGGACAACCGGUCGAAAGACCGGCUAAUACCGCAUAAGACCUGAGGGUGGAAAGUAGGGGGAGGUCGCAGACCUCACGCGACGGAAGNGGCCGGACUGACUGAUUAGGUUAGG
rnacentral:rRNA from 1 species